rnacentral:rRNA from 1 species
AGAGUUUGAUCAUGGCUCAGAACAAACGCUGGCGGCGUGCCUAACACAUGCAAGUCGUACGAGAAAGGGUCUUUCGGGAUCUGAGUAAAGUGGCGCACGGGUGAGUAACGCGUGGAUAAUCUGCCCUUCAGUUGGGAAUAACUCAUCGAAAGGUGGGCUAAUACCGAAUAACGCUGUGAGACUUUGGUCGAUCAGCCAAAGAGAGCCUCUGCUUGCAUGCCCUCGCUGAAGGAUGAGUCCGCGUACCAUUAGCUAGUUGGUAGGGUAAUGGCCUACCAAGGCGACGAUGGUUAGCUGGUCUGAGAGGAUGAUCAGCCACACUGGAACUGAGACACGGUCCAGACUCCUACGGGAGGCAGCAGUGAGGAAUCUUGCGCAAUGGGGGCAACCCUGACGCAGCAACGCCGCGUGAGUGAGGAAGGUCUUCGGAUCGUAAAGCUCUGUCGGAUGGAAAGAACCGCAUGGGGGUAAAUAGCCCUCGUGUCUGACGGUACCAUCAAAGGAAGCACCGGCUAACUCCGUGCCAGCAGCCGCGGUAAUACGGGGGGUGCAAGCGUUGUUCGGAAUUAUUGGGCGUAAAGAGCGUGUAGGCGGCCGGAUGUGUCAGAUGUGAAAGCCCUGGGCUUAACCCAGGAAGUGCAUUUGAAACUGUUCGGCUUGAGUAGGGGAGAGGGAAGUGGAAUUCCUGGUGUAGAGGUGAAAUUCGUAGAUAUCAGGAGGAACACCGGUGGCGAAGGCGACUUCCUGGCCCUAUACUGACGCUGAGACGCGAGAGCGUGGGUAGCAAACAGGAUUAGAUACCCUGGUAGUCC